rfam:Terrisporobacter sp. 08-306576 Contig143, whole genome shotgun sequence.
CUCUUAUCAAGAGUGGUGGAGGGACUGGCCCUAUGAAACCCGGCAACCAGUACAAUUUUGUACAUGGUGCUAAAUCCUGCAACUAUUAUUAGUUGAAAGAUGAGUA